rnacentral:rRNA from 1 species
CAAACAAUCAAUCAAAUGACUCUCGGCAAUGGAUAUCUCGGCUCUUGCAUCGAUGAAGAACGUAGUGAAAUGCGAUACUUGGUGUGAAUUGCAGAAUCUCGUGAACCAUUGAGUCUUUGAACGCAAGUUGUGCCCGAGGCCUUCUGGCCGAGGGCACGCCUGCUUGGGAGUCAUGG